rnacentral:lncRNA from 1 species
UUCUUCCCUGGACCUUCCAUAUCUCCUUUGAUCAAGCUUCCUAGACCUCUCCCCUGAAAUGUGGCAUCUGAUCUGGUCAAAGAUACAUAAACUCCCUGUCACUCUCAGAGCUCUUCCCAGCUAUGCAGCUGCCUGUCAAGGAAUACACGGUAAAAUUCCUACCACUACCCAUUCCUUAUACUCAGCCAAGUGUUUGCCAGUAUCUACAAAUGUCAUUUGCUUGCCUAGAUUUUACCCAUUCCAUGAAGAUGUUUGCAAUUAUACAGGAAACAACACAAACCAAACCAGCUGUCCUCUAACUUGGGGAAUUCCUGUAGAACAACUCCCAUGGAAAAUUCCUGCAUCAGAACAAUCAAAUACAGGGAGAUUUGGAAAACUUUGGUUUUACCUAAACUUUAGAUGGAUAAUGCAUGCAAUUCCUAGAGAGCAGUACCCUUGGUGAAAACUGCCUGAGAGUGGAGUGAGGUGAAAAUUACUAUUUUUCCUAUCCCACCCUUGUUCUAAGUAUAUUGCUGAAUAAUACUACUAAUAAGGGAUAAAAAGACUUCACAGCUUCCUGUUAGUAGUUCAAGAUGGAACAUCCUUGUGAGAGCAGGAAAAUGAGUUUGAAGGAGGCAGGUCCCAUCCCAUUUUGCUUUGCCAUGUUUAAAAAUGUGUGAGAACUGAAACUUUAUUGUCAGUACUUUCAAUUUUGUCAAUAUUUUCUUAUUUAUACUUGAUUGCAAAAAUGAUACAUUUCUUAGCUAAAUAAGUAUUUUCAUUAAUAUUAUUUCCUACUUCUAAGCUGAAGCAUUUUAG